ACUACCACAUUUACAGGAAGUAUGGUAAUACAUUCUUGUCAGCUGUCUGGGCAAAUCUUCUCUCGCAGAAUUGGAUUAAAAUUUAAUGUAUUUUAUUUCUCACUUCCAACGAUGUCGCAAUUAUUAGGCAGCUAUCAAGUCUCAAGAUAUAAUGACAUAAUUUGAUAGAAUGUUAGUACCAACGCUAUCAGUGCAUUGAAGUCGAGUUCUCGAUACAGGGAGCUGCUGGUAAACUACCGUCGCUAUACAUCGACUAUGACUACAAUCCUACUUUUAAAAACAAACUACAUACAUAUCUCACAUUUGCGAGGACUACUUCAUCACAAGCAAAAAAUCGACAUUGGUAAAUAAAGGUCUGUCUUCUAUAACCACGAUGAAAAGAAAAGCUGGGCGAAAACAUUUGAGACUGCAGAUUGCAGAACUGGAACACUCUAUUUGAAGACAGUGGCUGCUGAGUGCUGAGCUGCAUCAAAUCUAUCAGCAUCAUGUAACUUCGAUCAGGAACAGACUCCAUUUCAUUUCCGACAACUAGCACCUGUUUUCCCUAGACUUACCAAGUAUUAAGUAACUGCAUUAGUAUUAGGUUAAAUUAAAGGCCCUACAUCGAACAAGUCUAACAAUUAAAACUUAAAUGCAAGAGUGCACAAUUUAUCACUAAAUAUCUUCCUCUUUUAAUUCUAAUCAACACACGGUUUCGUCUUUGUUUCACCCAAUCGUGCUGAUAAUCAGUAAUCAUGCACUCUGCACUCUAACUUCGAGAUGUUUCAAAAGGGCUCCCGACGAGUUGAAUUAGAUCAAUAUUUUCUUUUGAUACAUAGAUACUGAUUGGGAGGUUCAUCAUACUAUUCUUGUCACAUGGUAACGAUUAACGAUUAGCUGAUCAGCUUCCAGCAUCGACAGGCCGAAAUCCAUAAAUAUAAUCAGUUGUAAUUUAAUAUUUAUCAUCGUCCGGAUCAUCAUAAUAUUUUAAUUUAAAGUUACAAUUGAACGGUGUUAAGAAAGAUAAUUUAAGAGAAAUGUUUUGAAAGUGCCUGAUUUCGAGUAUAAGAUCUGUACUGAUACAUUAAUUUUCAGAUUGUUAUUAUAGUUUAUUUGUAUUUUUUAUAUUAUCUUAUCCGCACAAGUUCGGAAGCCAUCUGAACGCUAUUGCCAGACACAGGCAUAUAUUUAUUUUGGGGUAUCAUGCUCUCAGAAAUUUCAACUCAGUCCGAUAUUAUAGUUAUACUAACCUGCAUUGCAUAAGGUUAAUUGUCUCGCAGUCUAGUGCAUAAACCUUUUAUUUCGUAUAAACCCUUUAUUUUGAUUGGGAAAACUUUAGUUUAAUGUGGUUACCGUCUCUAAAGUUGGCAUGAUAGUUAAUAAACUCUUAUCUAUUAUGUCACUGAAGAUGACGCCUUGCAACAUGUUUGACGAUAGCCUGUAGAUUGAUAGUUUGAUCUAAGUAUUUACAACAAUUCAUCUAGUUUGAUUGAUUCAAAGGGAAACAAAUUCCUCUCUUAUCUAUUAUGACUAUAUUUAAAUUCAAUCCUGUAAAGUGAUACUCCUUUUUUAGUAAUUUAAA